CACCAGAUCAGCUACUAUUGGGUCAGAAUCACCUUGUGAGGCUCUGUGUGCAGGGGGGAGGAAGGGCUGGGCUAGCCCUGCAGACACAUGAUCUGCAGGCCCACGCAGGAAGGCACAUGUAAGGCCAGCAGCCAACAUGGCUGAACCCACGAAGAGCACACGGCAGGGAAAGCCAUGUGGCUGGGCUGUCAAUCAAUAAGGUCUGCCUGGUGGCCUGCCCAUAACGUGCCCCCUGGAGCCUCUAAUUGGCUGUGGCAGCCCUCACUUUGGCUAAGGGGACACUGAGUGGCAGCGAGACAAAAGUCCCGCCUAGGGUAAUGCUCUGUAGGAAGACAAACUGAGGGACAAAAAAAGAAAGAAAAAAAAAAGAAAACAAGAUGAAAAGAAGAUAUAAGGAAAAAGCAAGUAAAAGAAAAUAAGGGAGGAAAGAGGAAAGAAGGAAGGUAAUAUGGUGAACACAUGGUACAGGAACCUUGAAGAACAAGAUUAAGUUUCCACUUCUAUCAUGCUUUACGUGUCAGCACAGCAAAUCUUAUUGGCCUAAUCCUCCCACCAUUAAGUUUUUAACAUCCAGGGGUCUGUGAGCAGCAUAUCUGAGUGUUAAUGGUGUCUAAUAAAAACAUUAAAUACCUGGA